rnacentral:rRNA from 1 species
AGUGAACGCUGGCGGUAGGCCUAACACAUGCAAGUCGAACGGCAGCACAGUAAGAGCUUGCUCUUACGGGUGGCGAGUGGCGGACGGGUGAGGAAUACAUCGGAAUCUACUUUUUCGUGGGGGAUAACGUAGGGAAACUUACGCUAAUAUCGCAUACGACCUACGGGUGAAAGCAGGGGAUCUUCGGACCUUGCGCGAUUGAAUGAGCCGAUGUCGGAUUAGCUAGUUGGCGGGGUAAAGGCCCACCAAGGCGACGAUCCGUAGCUGGUCUGAGAGGAUGAUCAGCCACACUGGAACUGAGACACGGUCCAGACUCCUACGGGAGGCAGCAGUGGGGAAUAUUGGACAAUGGGCGCAAGCCUGAUCCAGCCAUACCGCGUGGGUGAAGAAGGCCUUCGGGUUGUAAAGCCCUUUUGUUGGGCAAGAAAAGCAGCAGGUUAAUACCCCGCUGUUCUGACGGUACCCAAAGAAUAAGCACCGGCUAACUUCGUG